UACGUAGGGCGCAAGCGUUUGUCCGGAAUUAUUGGGCGUAAAGAGCUCGUAGGUGGCUUGUCACGUCGGGUGUGAAAGCUUGGGGGCUUAACUCCAGGUCUGCAUUCGAUACGGGCUGGCUAGAGGUAGGUAGGGGAGAACGGAAUUCCUGGUGUAGCGGUGAAAUGCGCAGAUAUCAGGAGGAACACCGGUGGCGAAGGCAGCUCACUGGGGACGGUAUUGACGCUGAGGAGCGAAAGCGUGGGGAGCGAACAGG
rnacentral:rRNA from 1 species